UACGAAGGGGGCUAGCGUUGUUCGGAGUCACUGGGCGUAAAGCGCACGUAGGCGGAUCUUUAAGUCAGAGGUGAAAUCCCAAGGCUCAACCUUGGAACUGCCUUUGAUACUGGGGAUCUUGAGUCCGGGAGAGGUGAGUGGAACUGCGAGUGUAGAGGUGAAAUUCGUAGAUAUUCGCAAGAACACCAGUGGCGAAGGCGGCUCACUGGCCCGGUACUGACGCUGAGGUGCGAAAGCGUGGGGAGCAAACAGG
rnacentral:rRNA from 1 species